GCAGUCCAGAGGGUUCACAGAGACGGUACCACAAGAAGAGCCUUGGGGCUUGAUAAAAACCAACUUCUUAGGAGACAGACAAUGGGUGGAAGCAAAGUUCAGACAGAGGGAAAAGCGUGAGCCAAGCCGGAAAGAGGAAACAGUAGCCAUGUGUUGGGAAGACCUUGGAUUCCAGCCAAUGAAGAGAAAACGAAGGAUGGGAAGACCAGGAAUGGGAGCCACUGAAGUUCCUAAGUUCCUACUUGUAAAAAUCAUCUUAACCGAUACAGAAAUGACUGCAGUCCUACCAUACGACUUCUGGAGAGGGGAAGGCCUUCACUUUCAUGGACAGACGGUAGGACCGCUUUCCCGCUAUGGUUUCCUGCACCUGCUGCUUCCGAUGCUUCACGCUGAUGAAUCCCUUUCCUUUGAAAGAAGAAAUGAUAGUGCAUCAGGAAAGGAUGCAUUUACGUCAACAUACGCUCACCCCUUCCCUAAGAGAGAUGCGGUCAACGAAUGGAACAUGAUGGAGCCUGUCCAGGAGCCCAAGUGCCAACCGACGAGUGAUGCCUUCAGGUCAACUGCCAGCAAGUCCUAGAGACGUAAAGCAGCGUACAGGCGAUCUCCCACAAUGACGAGGGACAGGAUUUCUAAAAUCUACCUAGCUGAUACAAUGAAGAUGGAGAAAGUUGCUCUGGGCUGAAAUGUCAAGCUCCGAAAGAAUUUACAUCUCAUAAUCAAGCAACCGUUUGGGCAUUCCGUGGUACUUAGACAAGUUGCAGAAGAUCAUUAAUUCCAGGUGAUUUAUUGUAUUUUUCUACAUCCACCUCAUGGUAGUAUCCGGGGAAUUUCCCCCAGAUAAAGUAAAACUGGUCCACAGGUUCUGCUUUGGUCAUAUGGAACAGUAAAUGAGGAAAUCGUGACUGCUUUACAAUCUACGUUACUAAUCGAAGCAUCCAAAAUCAAGACUGUCCACAUCAAAAGCAGUAUUUUUAAAAGUUAACAU